rnacentral:rRNA from 1 species
UAGUCAUACGCUUGUCUCAAAGAUUAAGCCAUGCAUGUCUAAGUGUAAGUAAUUUUACAACGAAACUGCGAAUGGCUCAUUAAAACAGUUAUAGUUUAUUUGAUACUCAUUUUUACAUGGAUAACCGUGGGAAUUCUAGGGCUAAUACAUGCGUAAACCCGUAAGGGAUGUGUUUAUUAGAUUAAAACCAUCGGAGUGCUUGCACUUACUUGUUGGAAUGAUAAUAACCGUUCGAAUCGCUGAAUUGCGAUAGAUCAUUCAAGUUUCUGACUUAUCA